CUGGGGAGAAACUUUACAGUUAUAGUCAAUGUAGGAAAGGCUUUAUUGAUAGUUAAUCUCUUUUUCAGCGUAUGAGAACUCAUACGGGAGAGAAGCCCUAUGAAGGCAAUCAGUGGGAAGAAGCCGUCAAAUGCAGCUCAGCUUUCUUGCAGCAUGACGGAACCGAUCUAGGAAGGAAAACCUGUGAUUGUAAAGAAUGUGGUAAAGCAACAAGAAGCAAGACCUCCCAGCUCAUUCUGUAUCAAAAAACUGAUACUGGGGAAAACCCUGUGAAUGUACUGAACACGGGAAGGCUUUUAGUUGUCAUCUCAGGGACUGCCAAGUUUCUGCCUCGGCACUGAGGCUCUAAGAAGAAAGCUAAUAUAUGUCAGGUUCAGGGGAAUCAUUUCAUGAGCAAUACUGAUGUGUUUAAAGUUUUACUCUGACUUAUAAAAAAUUGUAAAAGUAAGUAAGAGUCAUUUGUUUUAGUGAAUAAAUACUUUUCUAGGGACAAUUUCUUUGGCAAGAAUGCUUCUAAAACUUGCUUUUUUU
rnacentral:lncRNA from 1 species